rnacentral:sRNA from 1 species
UUGACUGCUCUAGGGAACCAAGUUCUCCAUCGGCAGAACAGAUACAAUAUGGGCAACAACACUGACAGGCAGCCCCUGUCACUCUGUGUCUCAGCCUUGCCUGUUGGAGAUACCCUCUUGGAAGAAAAGAGUAAUUUGGUCUCUGUGGUGAUUUAAUCCAUUAGCCUAG